CUCCUCUCCCCUGUCUAUAUACUAGUUGUCUUUCUCCUCUCCCCUGUCUAUAUACUAGUUGUCUUUCUCCCCUCCCCUGUCUAUAUACUAGUUGUCUUCUCUCCCCUCCCCUGUCUAUAUACUAGUUGUCUUUCUCCUCUCCCCUGUCUAUAUACUAGUUGUCUUUCUCCUCUCCCCUGUCUAUAUACUAGUUGUCUUUCUCCUCUCCCCUGUCUAUAUACUAGUUGUCUUUCUCCCCUCCCCUGUCUAUAUACUAGUUGUCUUUCUCCCCUCCCCUGUCUAUAUACUAGUUGUCUUUCUCCCCUCCCCUGUCUAUAUACUAGUUGUCUUUCUCCCCUCCCCUGUCUAUAUACUAGUUGUCUUUCUCCCCUGUCUAUAUACUAGUUGUCUUUCUCCUCUCCCCUGUCUAUAUACUAGUUGUCUUUCUCCUCUCCCCUGUCUAUAUACUAGUUGUCUUUCUCCUCUCCCCUGUCUAUAUACUAGUUGUCUUUCUCCCCUCCCCUGUCUAUAUACUAGUUUUGUCUUUCUCCUCCCCUCCCCUGUCUAUAUACUAGUUGUCUUUCUCCCCUCCCCUGUCUAUAUACUAGUUGUCUUUCUCCCCUCCCCUGUCUAUAUACUAGUUGUCUUUC
rnacentral:lncRNA from 1 species